AAAUCUAAGAGUUUUAUCCUGGCUCCGAACGAACGUUAUCAAGAUGCCUAACACAUGCAAAUUAAACCGAGUGCAUAACUCAGUAGUGAACGGGUGAGUAAUGUUAAAGUACAAAAUCUAUAGGAAUUACUGAAAUAGUAUGAGAAGGGGUUCUUAAUCUCGCUUAUAGAUAGUCUUUAAUCGUAUUAGGUAGUUGGUAGUUUAAAAGACUACCAAGCCGAUGAUGCGUAGCAGGUCUAAGUGGAUCAUCUGCCACAUUGGGACUGAAACAAGGCCCAAAUGGGUAUAAUCCCAGCAGCAGUGGGGAAUUUUGGACAAUGGGGGAAACCCUGAUCCAGCAAUCUUGAGUGAGAGAUGAAGGAAUGUUCUGUAAAUCUCUUUUAGCAAGUAAGAAAUAGACAUAACUUGCAGAAAAAGCUCCGGCCAAUCUCGUGCCAGCAGCCGCGGUAAUACGAGAGGAGCGAACGUUGUUCAAAAUAACUGGGCGUAAAGGGUGAGUCGGAUGUAAUAAAAGUUGAAAGUAAAAUCGAUGGAUUUCCUUCAUCAGCUCUUUCAAAACUAUAUUACUAGAGUUUAAUAGAGGAAGGGAGAAAAUCUGGUGUAAUGAUAAAAUAUGUAAAUAUCAGAUAGAACACCAAAGGGGAAGCCACCCUUCUAGGUAAAAACUGACUCUUUAUCACGAAGGCAUAGGGAGCAAACAGGAUUAGAGACCCUGGUAGUCUAUGCUGUAAACUAUGAAGACUAUUGGUUAGAGGGGGCCUAAUCCCCCAUUUAGUCAAUUAGCUAACGCGUUAAGUCUUCCGCCUGGGAAGUACGGCCGCAAGGUUGAAACUCAAAGGAAUUGACGGGGAUCUACACAAGCGGUGGAGCAUGUUGUUUAAUCUGAUACUACGCAAAGAACCUUACCAAUCCUUGAAAUUAAAAAGCAGGUGCUGCAUGGCUGUCGUCAGCUCGUGGCGUGAGUUGUUCGGUUAAGUCCAUAAACGAGCGCAACCCUUAUCCAAUAAUGGGCGUAAAAGUCCAAUUUGGAAACUGCCUGGUCCAUCGAUCAGGAGGAAGGAGAGGAUGAAGUCAAGUCGUCAUGGCCCUUAUGGAUUGGGCUACUAACGUGCUACAAUGGUGAUUACAAUGGGUAGCAAUGAUGUGAGUCGGAGCAAAUCUCAAAAAAGUCAUCUCAGUCCGGAUUGAUCUCUGCAACUCGAGACCAUGAAGUCGGAAUCGCUAGUAAUCGCGAAUCAGCACGUCGCGGUGAAUCAGUUCUUAGGUCUUGUACAUACCGCCCGUCACGCUAUAGGAAUUGGUGAUUAUUGAAGUUAUUAUUAUUAGAUAGUCAUUAGUGACCAGAGUGAAGUCGUAACAAGGUAGCCGUUGGGGAACCAGUGGCUGGAAUAACUCCAUAAGUUAAAAUAUCACGGAAUCACCCGUGAACUUAAAUUAAAGCGUUAAUAAAAUAUGCCUUUGUUGGAGAUGAACCAACUUGACUCCUUU
rnacentral:rRNA from 1 species